GUCGAACGGUAACAUAGAGAAGCUUGCUUCUUUGAUGACGAGUGGCGGACGGGUGAGUAAUGCUUGGGAAUCUGGCUUAUGGAGGGGGAUAACUACGGGAAACUGUAGCUAAUACCGCGUAAUAUCGAAAGAUUAAAGUGUGGGACCUUCGGGCCACAUGCCAUAGGAUGAGCCCAAGUGGGAUUAGGUAGUUGGUGAGGUAAAGGCUCACCAAGCCGACGAUCUCUAGCUGGUCUGAGAGGAUGACCAGCCACACUGGGACUGAGACACGGCCCAGACUCCUACGGGAGGCAGCAGUGGGGAAUAUUGCGCAAUGGGGGCAACCCUGACGCAGCCAUGCCGCGUGAAUGAAGAAGGCCUUCGGGUUGUAAAGUUCUUUCGGUAGCGAGGAAGGUGGUUAGUUUAAUAGGCUAGCCAAUUGACGUUAACUACAGAAGAAGCACCGGCUAACUCCGUGCCAGCAGCCGCGGUAAUACGGAGGGUGCGAGCGUUAAUCGGAAUAACUGGGCGUAAAGGGCACGCAGGCGGAGAUUUAAGUGAGGUGUGAAAGCCCCGGGCUUAACCUGGGAAUUGCAUUUCAGACUGGGRGUCUAGAGUACUUUAGGGAGGGGUAGAAUUCCACGUGUAGCGGUGAAAUGCGUAGAGAUGUGGAGGAAUACCGAAGGCGAAGGCAGCCCC
rnacentral:rRNA from 1 species